ACAGUUUGAGUGGCUGCACAGGCCUCUGUCAUUGAAGUGUCCCUCUAGAGCUGCUUGAGCCAGCUGAUAGCAAAGCUUUUUGGAAAUCUGUGGUACUAAGCUGACCUUGGCCUUUGCAAAGAUCAUUCAUCGAUGACCCUGAUUGUACAUCUGAAAUGAUGCACACUGUCAAAGUUUUGAACGUCUUUUUUUGAAUGCUUCGGUGCUGUCAAGUCAACAUGUUCUUAUUUCAAUUUGGUUUCGUCGAAUUAUGUUUCCUUUGCUUAAUUUAGAAUGAUUUUGAUUGACCCUAUCAUACUGAUGACAGGAUGUUAGGACAUGCUGCUCCUUUUUUGCAUGCUAUAGUUAUAUAUUUAUUGUCAAUCUCAUUGUGAGUGGUUUCUCUUUUGCCAUCAUCAUCUCUGCUGAAGUCCGCAUUUUCAUGCAUAAUUUUUGCCUGCAUGCACAAGAGAGUGUCCUGAGAUGACCACAUCUCCAGAACAGUUGGUUCAUUUGAAAAUUGCUCACCUCUGGGACCUAACUUCUCCAUUACUGUACACAAUUACUUGGGUGUUUUUUUUUUCCCUUCAGGAGGGCCUCCAUAACAGAAUUGAAAUGAUUUUCUGAUGUGAGGUUCAGCAAUGGCAGCCAAAAAAGUCAUGGAAGAAGCUCUGAUGUGGAGGCCACCGAACUGCAAUCUGUGCUGCAGUCCACUUUGGCCUGGAGGGGUGUGGCCUCUCACCAGUCACCUCCUUUUUAUCUUGGCAUCUUUCUUUUGGAUUGCUCCUCGAGAUACACUGCUGCACUGUUCUAUCCCACUACUACAAAGAAAACCCUUUGAUUUUUCUUUCCUUUCAAUUUCCAUCCUUUUUUUUCCGCUGCUUUUGUUUGUUGUUUUGCUAUGUUGGACCCCAUGGUUACUAAAACCCGCAGGGUUCACCGCCCGGUAACCGGUCCAGAACUCCAAACUCUGGGUGCGGUUACCGGCUGGAAGGAUAUGAAUUUGAACAAAAAUUCUUCAAAUUCAGAGCUAUUCAAGCCGGUUACCGGGUUUCGCUGGGAUGUCGUUUAUUUCAGCGAAACCGGUUUUUGCCAUGGUUGGACCUCUAUCAUGUCCCUAUCGGCUGGUGUGGUCUCACCUAGUCAGCUGUGUGGGUUGGGCUACCUGGGAGGAGAUGUUGAGCCCCUGCCUCUGCUUCUUCUUCCUCUGGCAGUGGCAGCAUGCACUAGCUUCAGGAUUUGUCGGUCAUCAUCGGCGCCACGACGAGAUGUAUGAAGCUCUCGUUCCAGUGCCCAAUCGAGUGCCCUGUUGAAAAUCUCCAUGCAGGUGAGGUGUGCAGCUGCAAUCCUUCUUGACUUCGCCAUGGCCCCCCUCCAAAAGAUGAUCCCUGAUGUGCAAUUUCAUUUGCAAUUGCAAAUUUGCACUCAAAUUAGUGGAAACAGCACGUUGAUGCUGUACACUGGAGGACUUUUCUUGGAGAUGUUGGACACUCAAAAUCCGAUUUCGCACGCUGUUGCGCUGCCCGAUUAUGAUAAUCGGCAUUUUUGUUUUCAUAUACGCAAAAAUCGAAUUUGGCCGUUUGGAAAAAUGCUUUCUUGUAGGAGAGCUGGCUGGCAUUUUAAUCUGUUAAUUAACCCCAAGCAUUAACAAUUCAGCACGUUUUGCCGUGUUGUAGCAUACUGCAUACUACAUCGUACGUGUUCUUUUUUGUGUGCAUGUGUGUCGCAUUGGUUGGCAAUUACGAGUUCACCUACUGUUCACCUGAUCAUCUUUCUUUCUCCUUUAUCUGACGUUCUAUUAAUGCUUUACUACAAUGUUUCUUGUUUUCUGAGACUCUGGAGUGACUGUUCAAGGACCCAAGGGUCAGUGGUCACUACAGCUUUUAUAUAUAUAAAAAAACUUAUUUGACAUGCCUUGGUUGUCCUCUGUGUACCACUUUCUACUUUAUUUGUGUGUCUGUCUGUGUGUAAUCUUAUGUUGAUCCUUAGCUGUUGAUGUGUCAUUAGCAAGUGCCCUGCUGAUGACAUGAACUUUCUUUAACCUCGCAUUACCUAUUAUUAGAUUCCUAAAUAUUGUGCCCCAGUCUUUGAUUUGUAUAUAGUUUGCACAUGUGCCACUGUUGGUGGUAUUUCUUUUUGACAAAUUGCUUAUUGCUAGAUUUUUUUUUUGCUAUGAAAAAAGUGGACUAUAUAUGUGCUCCCUGAAAAGGAAAAUUCGUAUUCUGUUUUGAGUGAUGACGCUGAAAGUUUUUGGACUUUUUAUGCUCCUCUCCAUUUUUGUUUUAUUCCUUCCGUAGGCUACAAGGUCACCUAUAUGUGUGUUGAGAGGAUAAAAGAAGAAUUACGGCUGAGAUUCCCAGACGUUGCAAGCCGACGGCAAUAAUUGUGGUACAUUGAUUCACUAUGCAAACUGAUGAAAGAUGGUGGAACUGAACGAAUCAAGGGUCCAUUUGAAGUUCAUUGCAAUCUCUUAAGAUUCGAGAAACACCCAGGGAUCUUCCGGCUAGCUCUACAAGGUGGUGGCUAGCUGGCCUGGGUUCGAAGCUUCACCUUGUCUAAUUAUUUGAUAUUAGGUCAUCCCCUAAUAUUCGCUUUUUUUUUCUGUCAAGAUUUGAGAUCUUAUUUGGCCACUCGAAGCAGUUAGGAGCAGGUAUUCCCUUCGUUUUUAAAUAACCGACAAUUUGGACAUCACUCUUUGAACUUUACAUGAAAGUCCAUAUUUACGACA